rnacentral:rRNA from 1 species
ACAACUUUUAGCAACGGAUCUCUUGGCUCUCGCAUCGAUGAAGAACGCAGCGAAAUGCGAUAAGUAAUGUGAAUUGCAGAAUUCAGUGAAUCAUCGAAUCUUUGAACGCACCUUGCGCUCCUUGGUAUUCCGAGGAGCAUGCCUGUUUG